ACGGGUUGUGAGAGCAAGAGCCCGGAGAUGGAUUCUGAGACAUGAAUCCAGGCCCUACGGGGCGCAGCAGGCGCGAAAACUCUACAAUGCAGGCAACUGCGAUAGGGGAACAUCGAGUGGCAUCCACCAUGGAUGUCUGUCCAAUCGUCUAAAAAACGAUUGUCAGCAAGGGCCGGGCAAGACCGGUGCCAGCCGCCGCGGUAAUACCGGCGGCUCGAGUGGUGGCCGAUAUUAUUGAGUCUAAAGGGUCCGUAGCCGGCUUUGCAAGUCCUAUGGGAAAUCCAGCGGCUUAACCGUUGGGCUUUCAUGGGAUACUACAUUGCUUGGGACUGGGAGAGGUAGGAGGUACUCAGGGGGUAGGGGUGAAAUCCUGUAAUCCUUUGGGGACCACCGGUGGCGAAGGCGUCCUACCAGAACAGGUCCGACGGUGAGGGACGAAAGCUAGGGGCACGAACCGGAUUAGAUACCCGGGUAGUCCUAGCCGUAAACGAUGCUCGCUAGGUGUCACGGCAGUCGUGAAUUGUCGUGGUGCCGUAGGGAAGCCGUGAAGCGAGCCACUUGGGAAGUACGACCGCAAGGUUGAAACUUAA
rnacentral:rRNA from 1 species